rnacentral:rRNA from 1 species
UACGGAGGGGGCUAGCGUUGUUCGGAAUUACUGGGCGUAAAGCGCACGUAGGCGGCUUUGCAAGUUAGAGGUGAAAGCCCGGGGCUCAACUCCGGAAUUGCCUUUAAAACUGCAUCGCUAGAAUUGUGGAGAGGUAAGUGGAAUUCCGAGUGUAGAGGUGAAAUUCGUAGAUAUUCGGAAGAACACCAGUGGCGAAGGACGACUUACUGGACACAUAUUGACGCUGAGGUGCGAAAGCGUGGGAGGCAAACAGG